UCGAGUCAGCACCACGGUUCCGUGAAAAAGUGUGGAGGUUGCCAGAAGGGGACACACUUGAGUCUUUGUCCCUGGUGUGUGUUGUGUAUAUGUCCUGUGAGUCUGGGAAUUUGUUUCAGUUCUCUGAGCUUCUGGUUUUGUAUGUGUACCAACANNNNNNNNNNNNNNNNNNNNNNNNNNNNNNNNNNNNNNUCCACACACACACACACACACACACACACACACACACACACACACACGAAAGAUCGUGGGAGGAACUGGCACUCAGUGAUGGAGCUUGUUUAAUGUGCAUUGAGCUCUGGGGUCCAUCUCCAGUCUGAUUUUUUCUUUUCUUUUUUGGUUUUUGAGACAGGGUUUCUCUGCAUAGCCCUGGCUGUCCUGGAACUCACUCUGUAGACCAGGCUGGCCUCGAACUCACAGAGAUCCACCUGCCUCUGUCCCCUGAGUGCUGGGAUUGAAGGCGUGUGCGCCACCACCACCAGGCCAGUUUUUUAACAACACAAAGCAAACACUAUUACUCUUACUCCUCUUGGUUUAAUAGUAAGUGGAGGGUUAUAAACCAAUAAGAAACUGGCACUCACUGGCUCAGGUUCUUUAUACAAUAUAUUCUCACACCCAGCUCGGGAGAUUGGUCCCAUUUUUUUCCCAUUUUCCAUGAGGGAACUGAAGGUCAGAGAGGUUGCAGUGUUCACCGUAGGGCACAGCUGGCAUUAACCGUGGGAUCUCUCCUAGCUGGAACAGCGGGUCCUCAGGGGCCCACUCCUGAGCUCCCAGCAGCACACAUAGUAGUGGGGACUCAUCUCUGGCCCCAUCUCCUGGCCAACCCUCUUCUUGUCUCUGUCGGGGUGUUUGGGGCAUGGUUUGCAGAGUGCCUGGGCCAGCCAUUAGAUUAUUGUGAUGUCUGUCAUGGGGUGGGGGUGGAGGGGUUUAUAAGGACUCUGAGGAGGGGUUUGGGGCAAUGUGCUGUUCUGACUGAUGAGCUUCCUGGGUGUGCAAUAGGGGUUGGCCCUGAACUCCUUGACAAGCGAACAGAGGAAGCUGAAGACUGCUUUGUGUCUCUCUCUGGCAGUUACUACCUUAUCCUCAGCUGUGGGGACGCUCCACCCCAGCCGGACAGCAGGAGGGGGUGGGGGUGGGGGCGGAGCCGCGCCCCCCCUCAAUUCCAUCCCCUCUGUCACUCCCCCACCCCCGGCCACCACCAACAGCACAAACCCAAGCCCUCAAGGCAGCCACUCGGCUAUCGGCUUGUCGGGCCUGAACCCCAGCACGGGAAGCACAAUGGUGGGGUUGAGCUCUGGGCUGAGUCCAGCCCUCAUGAGCAAUAACCCUUU
rnacentral:lncRNA from 1 species